rnacentral:tRNA from 1 species
GGGGGUAUAGCCCAGUGGUAGAGUACUUGCCUACAUGCAUGAGGCCUGGGGUUCAAACCCAGCACUGCCA